UACGUAGGUGGCAAGCGUUGUCCGGAUUUACUGGGCGUAAAGAGCGCGCAGGCGGUCGUUCAAGUCGCGUGUGAAAGCCCCCGGCUCAACUGGGGAGGGUCACGCGAUACUGAUCGACUCGAAGGCAGGAGAGGGUAGUGGAAUUCCCGGUGUAGUGGUGAAAUGCGCAGAUAUCGGGAGGAACACCAAUGGCGAAGGCAGCUCGCUGGGACGGUACUGACGCUGAGGCGCGAAAGCGUGGGGAGCAAACAGG
rnacentral:rRNA from 1 species